AAAUUUCUAUAUUACCCCUGCCACAUCAGCAGUGGUACAAAGUGUGUACAACAUUGAGAUGUCUAUCUAUCAUUUUCCUAAACUAAUUCACCACUUGCAGUGCUUUUGUGAUACCUACAAAGCUAUAAUCUUAUAGCUAUGUGGCAGCCACACUAUCAAACUAAAACAUUUACACUUUACAGCUAUUUUGGAAGCAAUCACACACAAACUCUAUUGAAUAUUUUAUGUCAAAAAAGGGGUAUUAUUUAAACACAAGCAAUCCUCUUCACUUGCCAUUCACUUUCCUUCCCCAUUCUGCUCAAACUCUUGUCAUCUUCAUCCUGCAAGAUAAUUGAAUCUAUAGUUGUUAUUUUUCAAGUUGUUUGAUAAAUUUGUCCUUCAUGAUUGAGAAUUAUGUUUUUAUUAAUUGUACUACAUGCUCUAUGAUGCAGGUGGUAGGUACAUUAGAGGAUUAAAACAACUCUUCUUAUUGGGUUGUGUCCUCUUCUCUGUAGGGAUAUAUGUACAUAUUCAUGUAUUCAAUAGCUUAUCCAUGCAAUUUUUUUUACCACUCCUUUGUCUCCAAUCAUCAUGUUUCGACAACCAACUCAUGGGGACUCAUAAAGGAAUCACAACAGCAACAGGCACAAUAAUUGGAAUACAUUUCCUAAAAGUUAAAUUUUAUUUUGAAAGGUGUAAAUAUUGAUAAUAGAAAGUUCUAUGGAGAAAAAGAUUUUCAUCAUUUAAAAUAGUUUAACACCCAGACUCGACAUAAGAUUAAGGGUCAAUAACAUAAAAUGGCAAUCCAUCUAAACACCCAUUUAAAAAGAAAACCAACAGAAUUUCUAACAGUGCUUGCAUGCUAUUCAAGAAU
rnacentral:lncRNA from 1 species